rnacentral:rRNA from 1 species
AUUGAACGCUGGCGGCAGGCCUAACACCUGCAAGUCGAACGAGUGGCGGACGGGUUCGUAAUGUCUGGGACACUGCCCGAUGGAGGGGGAUACCUACUGGAAACGGUAGCUAAUACCGCAUACCAUCGGAUGUGCCCAGAUGGGAUUAGCUAGUAGGUGGGGUAACGGCUCACCUAGGCGACGAUCCCUAGCUGGUCUGAGAGGAUGACCAGCCACACUGGAACUGAGACACGGUCCAGACUCCUACGGGAGGCAGCAGUGGGGAAUAUUGCACAAGGGGCGCAAGCCUGAUACAGCCAUGCCGCGGGUAUGAAGAAGGCCUUCGGGUUGUAAAGUACUGUCAGCGAGGAGGCGUUACUCGCAGAAGAAGCACCGGCUAACUCCGUGCCAGCAGCCGCGGUAAUAC